CUCUGAUGGGUCUUGGGGGAGACCAAGGGUGCCCUGCUCAAUGUCAGCCCUGACUCUGUGCCACGUGCACUCAGCUCUGCCACGGAGGUGCAUGGCUCUGUAGACGUGGACGCCUCAGGGGUGACACCUCAGAGCUCCUGUUUACCUCUUUAGCCACCAGGAAGACAUUAGGACUCCCAGAGGGUGACUCCAGGGGCAGGUGGCUUGGAGGACUGGCCGUGCAAGGAGGCAGCAAAGGGGCGGCCAUCUGCAAGCUGAGGGCAGAGGCCUUGGAGGAAGCAGCCCUGCCAGUGCUGGUAACUCCUGCAGGUCGGAAGUCCAAACCAAGGUGCUGGAAGGGCUGGUUCCUUCCGGACCCUUCAGGGGAGAAUCUUUCUGCCUCUUUGGCUUCUUGAGGCCCCUUCCUGGCAUUGCUUCUUUCUCCACUGACUCCUACCAUCAGCGCUGAGUCCUGCCUGCCUCUUAUAAGAUCUUCAGAGGCCACCUGGGAUGUCAGAAGCUUCCAGGAACCAGGAGGUAGCUGCAUCUCCUGUCCCUUCCCUGAGUCACCUUGCUGGACUCCACAGUGUGGUGCAGACAAGAAGCUGCAGGGGACAACAUGGAAGGAAGCGGGGAUGGAGGAGAUGGAAUGGGAUGGGCUCUGGGCCCGGCCAAGCAGAGCAGGAUAGGGCUGAGAGUCAUCUGAGCACAGGUGGUUCAAAUGGCAGAGAAGCUCCACGCUGGAGCGGGGAAGAGCUUGGGCUUUCCGGCCAGAAAGCGCAGGUUUUGGCCACGGCUCUUCUGCCACUCACUAGAUGUGGGAGUUUGGAGGCGUUACCCGAGCUCUGAGCCUUACUUUCCUCAUCUGAAAAAUGGGAAUAAUGGUAGGGUUAAAUUAAACCAAAUUUGGUCUGAGGAUGCCUCUGCACUUUGAGUCCAACUGCGACCUUAGCAGCAAAUGAACUGCAGGCCUAGCUUAGGAGUGUACUUUUGUAAGAAAUAGCCGAGUCUUAGCCAAUCACAGCAGCUGAGCUUCUAUAAAUCGCAGGUGGCUGCUGAGUAGUCCAUGUUCAAACACGGCAAACCAAGCUGUGACCAAUGAGCUGUCUCUGCAGCUCACUUCCAUUUUCUGUCUAUAAACACUCCCUGCCCACACUGUGGAGUGGAGCUCAGCCCUUGGAACCUCUUCUGGUCUGAGGGCUGCCCACUUCAUGAAUCCUUUGCUUAAUUAAACUCAAUUCAUUUCAAAUGAAACUCAAUUGAUUGCUAGAUUAAUUUAAAUUUAAUUCGUCUAAAGUUUUCUUUUAACAGUUCCUACCUUGUUGAGUUGUCGUGG
rnacentral:lncRNA from 1 species